GACAGAGGGUGCAAACGUUGUUCGGAAUUACUGGGCGUAAAGCGCGUGUAGGCGGCUCGGCAAGUCGGGUGUGAAAGCCCUGGGCUCAACCUAGGAAGUGCACUCGAAACUUCCGAGCUGGAGUUCUGGAGAGGAAGGCGGAAUUCUCGGUGUAGAGGUGAAAUUCGUAGAUAUCGAGAGGAACACCGGUGGCGAAGGCGGCCUUCUGGACAGCAACUGACGCUGAGACGCGAAAGCGUGGGGAGCAAACAGG
rnacentral:rRNA from 1 species